rnacentral:sRNA from 12 species
UCUUUGAUUGGCGGCUCUAACGACAUCGUAGCGAUCAAAGGGUUGUAGCGUUACUAGAGGGAAGAUGCUGAAAUAGCGCAAUACAGGUGGCGAAGCUAGUGCCUGUGCAUCGAACGACUGGCGGGU